ACGCACCUUCGGGUGAGUGGCAGACGGGUGAGUAACGCGUGGGAAUCUACCUAUCGGUUCGGGAUAACCUCCGGAAACGGAAGCUAAUACCGGAUACGCCCCUUGGGGGAAAGAUUUAUUGCCGAUAGAUGAGCCCGCGUUGGAUUAGCUUGUUGGUGAGGUAACGGCUCACCAAGGCGACGAUCCAUAGCUGGUCUAAGAGGAUGAUCAGCCACACUGGGACUGAGACACGGCCCAGACUCCUACGGGAGGCAGCAGUGGGGAAUAUUGGACAAUGGGCGAAAGCCUGAUCCAGCCAUGCCGCGUGAGUGAUGAAGGCCUUAGGGUUGUAAAGCUCUUUCGCUAGGGAAGAUAAUGACGGUACCUAGUAAAGAAGCCCCGGCUAACUUCGUGCCAGCAGCCGCGGUAAUACGAAGGGGGCUAGCGUUGUUCGGAAUUACUGGGCGUAAAGCGCGCGUAGGCGGCUCAUUAAGUCAGGGGUGAAAUCCCGGGGCUCAACCUCGGAAUUGCCUUUGAUACUGGUGAGCUUGAGUCCGAGAGAGGUGAGUGGAACUCCGAGUGUAGAGGUGAAAUUCGUAGAUAUUCGGAAGAACACCAGUGGCGAAGGCGGCUCACUGGCUCGGUACUGACG
rnacentral:rRNA from 1 species